CCACAUCACAUUGAAACACCGGUUCCCCAUAUGAUCUCUAAAGUUAAGCAACAUCAAGCCUGGUCAGUACCUAGAUGUGUAAAUACUUGGGAAUAUCAAGUGCUGUAAG